rnacentral:lncRNA from 1 species
UAUUUCUCGUUCAGGAAUUGUUCAGCAAAAUAUGGCCAGCACAAGAAAGGAAUGCCAUUGCUAACACCUUCCAUGGUGGAAUUCCAACCACAAUGGCUCAGGAAACAGGCAAUAGAAGGAUGGUUAAGAACCUUCUGCUGAGGUGCCCAGCCGAUCAUCCGUCCUCGAGCAGAAACUCUCUCUUGGAAUCCGUCUGGGUAUCUAUCAUUUGCAUCAGUGGUAAUAUCUGGCCUUACAACCCAUAAAAAUGGUCUGUUGCAGAGUUCUAGUCCAAAUGCCAAUUCUUGAAACUGAACUUGGUCAAGAAUUGUAAAGCUGCCAAAAGCAGCAUAAAGGACAGAGCUCGGUUGCUGCUGGUCUAGCCACUCCAAACAGCUUGAGUCUUCGCGCCAGAAGUGUCCUGCUGAAUUCCCUAGACGGUUGCCAGCCAAAAGUGGUCCUAUUGGCAGAAGUUCCGGAACCACGGUGAAUGCCUCAGACUCGAGCUCAUACGUUGAGUGACACAACUGGAAAUUUACCGCUCUCAUUGCUCUCAUGUUUCUAUCCAGUAAAUCAAAAAUAAUCUUUUGCGUGUUCAAGUCACCAAUAUUUGUCCAAAAACAGUCUCCAGAGUUCAUUUCAGGCAUAUUUGGUGCAAUCCGAAACAUCUGCUUGCUCAUAGGAGUUCCUGAAGUUGAAUACAAACAAAAAAAAUUGCAAUAGCAUAAAAAAAAACUACUACUUUGACAUGCAUCAAAAUUAAAGCCUGCUGGAGGAAAGUCAGGAAUUAAAUGACAUAGAAUCAUACCAUUACUGUCAAUGAUUCCAUCAUCAAUAAGUUUGGGGAUAUGAAAUAGCAAGGCCACUGAUGCUGCUGAUGAAGGCCAAAAGAGAGCCCCCCUGACGUUCAUCUUUUUUGCUACUUCCAUAGACCAAGCCAUGUACCCAUCUGCAAUGAAACAAUCAAGUUUUUCAUCUUCUCUACUGUUGAUAUCUUCUAUGAGCUCCUCCAGCUUCCCCGGCAUAACCUGUAAAACUUUUUCAAAUAGCUUUCCGAAAUCGUUUCUAUCUUCCCAGGGUUCCAUUCCAUCUGGGAUCGAAACCAAACGGAUUUGCUCCCCAAGAUCAUUCUUUCCCUCCAAUGAUUCCAUUAUCCGCUUGUGAUCGUAAUCCGUGUUAACAAAUGUGACUCGGAAGCCCUGUUUCGCCAGACAUUGUGAAAACUCCAGUAAAGGAAUCACAUGGCCUUGCGCUGGAAUAGGCAAUACCAAAACAUGUGGACGGUUCAUUUUCUUUUUUAUUUUUACCUCGCUGAUUUGAUUGUUAUGAACUUGGUGCUUUUAUGGGGAUUGGGAGGGGCAGCUCAGUAGCCCAUGCUGGCUUUUCUGUCUUUCUUUCCGUACAUGUCGUGUAUCAUACGUUUUUAAUUUUGAACCUCAAGCUGGUUAUCUUCUUAUCUCCCGUUUUUAAGUUCUUUGUCCAUCUCUUUGUUUUGUUUCCUUCUGCGGUUUGGGUGAUAUGCUUGUUAAUAAAAUUCGUUUAUUAAAUAGCUUAUAAAUAAAUAGAAUAAUAAAUUAUCUUUUUAAUAGAAUUACUUUUUUGCCAUUAAAAUUCAAAAAAUUUUGUUUAAACAUUUUUAAGGUGUAAGGUUAGUUUUGUAAUUAUGAAAUGAUAAUAAGCCAAAAAUAUUAAUAAUAAUAAAGGUAAAGGCUUCAUCACUCAUCAGCCGACCCUUGCUCCACUCUUCAUUUUCCUACCUCCAUUGUUAUUUCUUUUACUUGAAUUUCAAGGACCUGUUUUUUCAUUCCCCAAACAAAAUGCCAAACGAAACACUCCCAAAAAUCAAAUUGUAAACGCAUAUUUAUUUAUUAAACGAGUGAAAUUUGAAUCUUGAGAUUAUAAUUCGUCUAAUAAACAAAUCAAAUCUAAAUUUAUUAAAUUUUGAUUUGAAUUCUAUUAAACAAUUCAUUUUGCUAUCUCUAGAGUUGAUACGCUUUAUGACCUUUGACCGCGCUAAUGAGCUAUGUUUAGAUAAUUUUUUUUAUUGACUACCCAAAUUAAAAUAUUAGAAAAGUUAUAUUAUUAUAAUUUUAUUUUAUUUUUCAAUGCAAAGAUAUUUUUACAUAACUUCUUGUGUUCACAAAGCAUUUCAAGUGAAGGCUUCUAAAGAUUUUCAAAAGUCAAAAGAUGCAGUUUUCUUUUGCUGCUUUUGUCCGCCACGUGGGAAUUAUUGAUCUCAACGUUUUACAGUUUUCUAUUUAACCCCAAGAUUUAUUUAAAAUCUUUAUGAUAUUACAAAUAUAUUAUUAAAAUACAUAUGAUAAUUUAAAAUUUUAAUAUUAUUUUAAAUGUCAAAAGUAAUUUAAUAUUAUUAGUCUACUAGAUAGAUUAUAUUACUUAUAUUAAAUUUGUGUUAAUUACAAAUUUUUAAAGUCAAUUUUCUAAUUAUUCUAGUUAAAGGGUAUUAUGAGCCAAAAAAAAGAUUUUAAUAUCCCAUUUUUUUUAAAAUUUGGGAGUCUUUUUGAUCAAUUCUCCAAAUUUUAGAAGUGUAAGCGUUAUUUUUCCUUCGGUAAAAUCAAAAUUACAUUAAUUCAAAGCAAUGACCAAUAAAAGUGCAAAAGGCACACAAGAAGCUGCUUACAUUUAACUGAAUAUGGGUUAUACUUUCUCAACCAAAAGAGAAAAAAGGAACCAAGAAAAGAGGGUAAAAAUAAAAAAAUCAUACAUGCCUCAAUUAUUUACUUAUAUAGGAUAACCGAUUUGACUAAUUGCGAAAGUUCACUUGCAUUACUUAAGCAAUUUCUUCAUGAGCAUGUUCCUUUAUAAUAAUGCUAGUAUCUAAACCAGACACUGGGGAUCCCUUCUCACUCGCUUCAUGCAAAUGCCCAGCAGCCAUGUCUCCACCAACAUCACUGAUGUCCCCAAAAAUCACAAUAAGAAUCCCCGAUCGUGGCAGCCAAAAAUGAAACCCCAAAAGCAGUGCUCACAUUUCCACUGAUCGCUGAUGCCACAGCAAAGCCAGUACAAGUUCCUAGUGCUUUUACCCACGAGUGCCAUACACGAAAAGCACCUUCUUUGCCAUGUGGUAACGGAAACCCAGAAGUUGCAUUCUCACAGCAUCUGCUUUGAUAACAUGUUGUAACGGAUGCAGUAGUGUCAUUGAAGAUGAUGGGAAUAUGAAGUAAAUUAUCCAGAAGUAGAGGAAAAGAAAAAAAAUAACCCCUCAGUGAAAAUGCACAUUGAUGAAAAUGAUGACAUGAAAAUUACAAUCAGGCUUGUAAUUGCAUGAGGAUUUUUAAAAAGGGACAGUGAAUAUGAUUCGGGCAUAGAGGAAGUUGCGUUGGUGAUUGCCCCUGGCUCAGUGCGACAAUAUGGAGCAUGCCAACGAGCCAUUUGAGGACCCUGAAAAUGGACACAACCCAGAGGCUAACAAAUGGGCCCUUUUUGUUCCUAAGCAUAUGGUAAGUGAAUGCUGAGAAAAUGGCAGCGCCUAAGCCACCAGCAGCAGUGGCGUAUACCGAGAACAAGCCAGAGGCCCCUCUUCUAGUUGGGGAUUGGCUAAGUUUAAGUGUUGGUCCAGUGUAGCCGCGAGCCAUAAGGCCAAGAUGGCGAGUGUGGGAGGCUGAAGCAACAAUGUAUAAUGCAACAAUAGCUGCAAUAUAAAAUGGGAAGAUGUAUGGGGUUUUAAUGAAGCCAACAGGGAGACAAAAGAGGGAACCGAUGGCAGUUGCAGCCCUAGCAAUGGUCAAGUUGCUUGGAGAUCAAGCCAAGGAAGGGACUAGCAAGAAUUAGGAAUAUAGCCCAUGAAAUUGAAGUCCAUUCCAUUGCUGAGAGAUUCAGAUUAUUCGUUGAUAUUGAUGUGUGUGUUAGUCAAUCAUACCUGCAAUAUAUGAAUAAUAUUUCAUCCUACUAAACAUGGACACAUGCAAAACUGACCCUCUGUCUAGUUUAACUGGCCAUCAAUGCGCUUUAUAUCCGCGGUCACUCAAGUUUAAGUAAUAAUUAAUAAAGAGCAAGAGUUUGGCUAAUGAAUUAAUUAAAGGAGAAUGAAUGAAACUUUAUUCUCACUAAGGUCUAAGAAGUUGUUUUGGUUCUUUGGGUUCGGAUAAAUUUUAAUAGCAUAAUCAGUAAAUCUCUUAGUAUAAUUAUUUUGUAUAUGAAAAUUUCACAUUUACCUUAAACAAUAUUUUUUUUCUUGUCAAUAUUUUGAGCCAAAUGGUAAUUAAGAGUGAGAAAUUCAUUCUCCCAUAAUAAAAUAAAUAUGCAUAAUUGCAUCUUUUACGUUUUUUACUCUUUUCGUGCUAAGAAUCUUGGAAUCAAUUCGAUCUUUAAUCCAAUUUUUUGUGUAAAUUACACUCAUGCGCUUUGUAUAUAUAGAAUUUUGAUUGAAUAAUCUACUAAGUAAUUAUAGAUGUAGCUAGAAAAAGAACUUACAGUUUGAUCUCUCUGAGAAUACAAGCAAUGCCCCUUGGGGUUUGUCUUCAACCUUGAUCAUCAUCAUCAUCAUCAUUUUUAGAGACAAUUUCACUGAUGAUGAGAGGAAAAACAACGGCACAACCGUUGUAACAAUGAAGUGUCCAAAUUUCAAGCUUCGAUGGCUUUUCUCGCAGCCCUGAGUAGGCCGUAGGCCAUAUAAGCUCCCUCGUGUGCCUCAGGCAUGUCUUCAUUCACUUUCUGAUCCUCUACUGAUACCGAUAUUCCUUCAUCAUCACUUAGAACCUCAUGUUUUCUUUCUGCUGCCACCGCUGCUGCCGGUGCUGCCAUAUUCACAUAUUAGUACCAAUUUGAAGGUUGUUUUGUGAAGUUAAAAAAAGGAGCUGAAUUGGCUGCUGCCAUAUUCAAAUUUGAACGGUGAUUAAUUAAUAUUUGCAUGGGCAGCUGGUGCCGACACUUUCAAGAAUUCAAUUUGCCCGACAUAUAUGUGUAAGCCUCGGUUUGUUCAUAUGUACGAAGGUAUUUCGGUAUCAUUCCUUUUAACUUAUUUGUCUUCUCUCUUUCAUAGCAAUGCCAAUUUUUGCAUCGCACUCUGCUACAGCUCAUGCCGAUCAACAUGUUUCAUGUGAUUUCAAUUUUCCUCAUCCUCUCUUUUGCAUAGAACUGAUCGAAUUCCUAGUGUAGAUUCCUUCAUCUGCAGCAAGGCGUUCUGACCAGUGCUGCAAACAUCCAAGAUCCAUGGGUUAAAGCUUGUUGAACGGGGGGCAAUUGAAGUAUUUUUUUCAACAGAAUCUCAUGAAUCUUGAAGGCAAUUUAAUUCAUGGCCUAAUGAUGAAGUAGAAGCAGCUUGAGAAGUGCUUAAUCUUCUCAAAUGCUCUUCAACUUCUGAAGUCUGUGGGUGCGAUCUUGUGGAAAGUUGUUUCAGCGAGUAUGGUAAGAGGCAGCCAUUGCUUUUGUUGCUGUGAAUUAGAAGACUAGAAGUUGAGAUUACCUUGUCCUCAAAUCUCAAUAUAUAUAGCACGAGAUGAGGAUACAAGAGGUAUCUCAUCCUCUUAAAAUAAAACGAAAGAAUAACAUGAUUUCGAGCUUGAUGUAAAUAUUAUAUCGGCUACUUUUAGGCUUAGUCUCCUCCCACACCAGCAUCCUAUCUCAGUAUUUUUAGCCGCAAAUCUCACUAGUAUCUACACAUAAGCUAAUACUAAAUAAACAAAUGUUUCUGAGUGAUCCAUAAAAUAGGCAAUCCUAUACAAGGAUCGCAGCAAUUCUGUUUCCUCUUCUAAAAUGCAAGAGACGCUAAUCCAGUUUGGCUUGCCUCCCUGUAGGAAACAGAGUGGCUGCUGUGAAACUCGUGUGUCCUUGCAGAAUUGAGGCUGCACCUUGAAUACAUGGAUGGGUAGUUAAGUCUCCAAAUUAAAGCACGCCCAGAAAAGAUCUGCAGUGUUCAUUGCAGGUAAAUUUGGUGCCAAAUGAAUCACUUGCUUCUUAAGAGACUGACUCCUCACACUAUAGUUACGACUAAUAACAUUCAUUGUCUGCUAUGAAAAAAAUUACGUAAAUAGGAAAACAAAUUAAAUUACAACUCAGUUAAAUAAAAUAUUCCUAAACACUAUAAACAUAAUAAAAAAACUUAAAAGACGAAGGUUGUAUUUUUUGAAUUAACCGCCCAUUACCGGGGAAUUAUGUGCCAGGGUGUUUCUUUACCCAUUCAAGGAAAUUCUGAAAUUUCUUGCGAGAGGAACCACCUUCUCUGAUGCAGUUCAUGGCUUUUCCCUUGAGUUUCAAAGCCCUUGUUUCAAAAUCUUGAUCACCGAGCACUUGCUCCACCUUGUUCUUAAUUUCUUCUCUUCCAAUGAUGCCAUUUUCGUUUUUGUCAAACCUCAAUCCCACCUUCCAAAUAUCACAAAUGUAUCUCUCGUUCAGGAAUUGUUCAGCAAAAUAUGGCCAGCACAAGAAAGGAAUGCCAUUGCUGACACCUUCCAUGGUGGAAUUCCAACCACAAUGGCUCAGGAAACAGGCAAUAGAAGGGUGGUUAAGAACCUUCUGCUGAGGUGCCCAGCCGAUCAUCCGUCCUCGAGCAGCAACUCUCUCUUGAAAUCCUUCUGGGUAUCUAUCAUUUGCAUCGGUGGUAAUAUCUGGCCUCACAACCCAUAAAAAUGGUCUGUUGCAAAAUUCUAGUCCCAAUGCUAAUUCUUGAA